AUUGAACGCUGGCGGCAGGCCUAACACAUGCAAGUCGAACGGUAACAGGAAGAAGCUUGCUUCUUUGCUGACGAGUGGCGGACGGGUGAGUAAUGUCUGGGAAACUGCCUGAUGGAGGGGGAUAACUACUGGAAACGGUAGCUAAUACCGCAUAACGUCGCAAGACCAAAAAAGGGGGACCUUCGGGCCUCUUGCCAUCGGAUGUGCCCAGAUGGGAUUAGCUAGUAGGUGGGUAACGGCUCACCUAGGCGACGAUCCCUAGCUGGUCUGAGAGGAUGACCAGCCACACUGGAACUGAGACACGGUCCAGACUCCUACGGGAGCAGCAGUGGGGAAUAUUGCACAAUGGGCGCAAGCCUGAUGCAGCCAUGCCGCGUGU
rnacentral:rRNA from 1 species